rnacentral:misc_RNA from 1 species
AACGCACAUUGCGCCUCUUGGUAUUCCGAGGGGCAUGUCUGUUUGAGCGUCAGUACCCACUCUCCUUCACGGAGGUUUUGAAGACUCGCGAGAGUCUUCCAAAGUGGAAGCUUACAAGCCUAUACCGACGACAGCGUAGUAAAAUCUUCUCGUUGUUUUUUGGGAAAAGGAAUUGUCAAAUCUUUAUUUCAUAAAUUUGACCUCAGAUCAGACAAGGAUACCCGCUGAACUUAA